CCUACGGGAGGCAGCAGUGGGGAAUAUUGGGCAAUGGGCGCAAGCCUGACCCAGCAACGCCGCGUGAAGGAAGAAGGCUUUCGGGUUGUAAACUUCUUUUAUCAGGGACGAAGCAAGUGACGGUACCUGAUGAAUAAGCCACGGCUAACUACGUGCCAGCAGCCGUGGUACUACGUAGGUGGCAAGCGUUAUCCGGAUUUACUGGGUGAAAGGGGCGUGUAGGCGGGAGUGCAAGUCAGAUGUGAAAACUAUGGGCUCAACCCAUAGCCUGCAUUUGAAACUUUACUUCGUGUGUGCUGGAGAGGCAGUCGGAAUCCCGUGUGUAGCGGUGAAAUGCGUAGAUAUACGAAGGAACACCAGUGGCGAAGGUGGAUUGCUGGACAGUAACUGACGCUGAGGCGCGAAAGCGUGGGGAGCAAACAGGAUUGGAUACCCGAGUAGU
rnacentral:rRNA from 1 species